UACGUAGGGUGCAAGCGUUAAUCGGAAUUACUGGGCGUAAAGCGUGCGCAGGCGGUUAUGUAAGACAGGUGUGAAAUCCCCGGGCUUAACCUGGGAACUGCGUUUGUGACUGCAUAGCUAGAGUACGGUAGAGGGGGAUGGAAUUCCGCGUGUAGCAGUGAAAUGCGUAGAUAUGCGGAGGAACACCGAUGGCGAAGGCAAUCCCCUGGACCUGUACUGACGCUCAUGCACGAAAGCGUGGGGAGCAAACAGG
rnacentral:rRNA from 1 species